GGACAGGUCAGUGCCCACGUUGUUGUAUUCC
rnacentral:piRNA from 1 species